rnacentral:lncRNA from 1 species
GAGAUCGCACCACUGCCCUUCAGCUUGGGCAACAGAAUGAGACUCUGUCUCAAAAACAAACAAACAAACAAACAGACAAACAACCCACUAUGGUGCCUUGUUGUUCCAUCCUCUGGAGGGGACAAAGGCUGUGUCUCCUGUGGUGGGGAGGUAGAAGUGGGAGGCAGUACUCUGAAGCCUCUGUAUAAGAAGGUGAAUCCCAUUCAUGAGGGCAGAGUCCUCGUGGCCUAAUCACCUUGCCCUAUCUCUUAAUACUAUCACCUGGAAAAUUAAGUUCUGACAUGUAAAUUUUGGAGGGACAUCUAUAUUCAAACCAUAUCAGGCUCCAUGCAAAAAUAAUUGCACUCUUGAGGGCAUCCCUAAAGCCAAUUGUUCAUACUCUAGUAGAACACUCAUUGAGUUAUAUUAGAGGCUUCCAUUUGUUUAUUUUGUUUUGCCUUCUAAUCACAUGUGUAGCGAGAUGGAGGGCUCCCCAAAUCUGUGCUUCUCCUCUUUAUUCUUGCCACAUUUGUGUCAAUUACAUUUCCCAGCCCCCUUGCAGUUAGGUAAGACCAUGGAAUUGAGUUCAUGUCCCACCAAAUUGCAGGCCAUUUUCAGAGUAGGCCCCCCAAACCUCCCACACAAUUGUUCACACUGUCCCUCUCCUUUGACCUGUGGUCAGGUGUAGAGAACCUGGGCGAGCACCUUCCAUCCUAGAAGAUGGUAGAGUCACUGUGUGCAGGGAUACUGAAUCCCUGAGUGACUGCAACAUUUCACUUAGCCCACAUUGAGGUAUACUAUGAGUGAGAAGUCAAUCUUUAUUAUGCCAUAAUACUAUAUUUAUCACGUCAAGACACCUUUUAAUUAUUAGUGUCUAUUGUGUAACAAGCCAUAUCAAAACUUAGUGGCCUCCAACAACCAUUUUUGAACACAUGCAAUUCUGCAUGUAGGCUGGGCUUAGCUGGGUAGUUCCUCUGUGGGUCUUGCUGCUGCUGGUUAAUCAUCAGCUGGUGGGUUGGCUGGGGGCUGGGUCCAGUUGGAACACUGGAACACUGGCCUUCUCUCUCUUUUCAUGUAGUUACAGGACCUCUCUCCCUCCCUGUGGCUUCUCCACGGGACCCUUCGCUGGCCUCUCUACCAGCAUACCCAGACUUCUGUGGAGUCUCCCAAGAGUGCAAAAGUGGAACCUGCCAAGCCUUCUUAAGGAAGAAAGGGCACAGCAUCACUUCCAUUGCAUUCUAUGGGCUAAGGCAAGUUAAAGGACCAGCUUAAUUCAAGGAAGGAGGGCUAUGUGAAAGUUCAAUAUGGGGAGGUGUGGCUUUUGGAGGCUCGUGAUGUAACAGACCCUCACAACCACUGAGAUGAGGGACUUGUUUGUUAUAGCAGCUGCCUAUACUGACUAAUCAACACCAGUAGCUCAGUGUUUCCCAAAUUUCAUCAAUCUCCUACUGCCCUCGCUAUUUUUGUGCUUUCUAUGUACCAUUUUGAAUAUUACUCACUAUUUCUUUUAUGUACCAUUUUGAAUAUUACUCACUGUUUCUUUUAAUCAAUGAACUUGAAAUAUAAAUUUAUUGAAAAAUAAGCUUUGUGUCAGCACUGUAAGUGAAAGAUUAGAAGUAUAAUUAUAUUAUUCUUCCAUUAUCAUUAAAAUAAGUCCAUAACUAUUAAAAUAGUCUAUCAAUAUAGCCCUUCAAACCAUCCCCUUGUCAUCAGGGAUGGGCCCAGCCCCUGGAAAGGAGGUUAUAGAGAUGCUUGAUAAUUUUUGUUAAACUCAAUUUUGUAGAAUUCAAAUCUGCUUCUCUAUAAUUUAUACCCACCAGAUUCCACUGAAACCCAAUCUGAUUCCCCCUCUUUCUGACUGCCCUUAGAUAUCUGGUGAGUUUUCAAGGGAAUUUUCCAUUCCCUGAACAUUUCCACUUUCUUCAACGUAUCCUGUUUCCUUGAAACCUUCUAACAAUGAGCAAAAAAAAAAAAAAAAAAAAAAAAAAAAAA